rnacentral:rRNA from 1 species
AUUGAACGCUGGCGGCAGGCUUAACACAUGCAAGUCGAGCGGCGAGGUUGCUUCGGUAACUGAGCUAGCGGCGGACGGGUGAGUAAUGCUUAGGAAUCUGCCUAUUAGUGGGGGACAACAUUCCGAAAGGAAUGCUAAUACCGCAUACGCCCUACGGGGGAAAGCAGGGGAUCUUCGGACCUUGCGCUAAUAGAUGAGCCUAAGUCAGAUUAGCUAGUUGGUGGGGUAAAGGCCUACCAAGGCGACGAUCUGUAGCGGGUCUGAGAGGAUGAUCCGCCACACUGGGACUGAGACACGGCCCAGACUCCUACGGGAGGCAGCAGUGGGGAAUAUUGGACAAUGGGCGAAAGCCUGAUCCAGCCAUGCCGCGUGUGUGAAGAAGGCCUUUUGGUUGUAAAGCACUUUAAGCGAGGAGGAGGCUACCGAGAUUAAUACUCUUGGAUAGUGGACGUUACCCGCAGAAUAAGCACCGGCUAACUCUGUGCCAGCAGCCGCAGUAA